AUUGAACGCUGGCGGCAUGCCUUACACAUGCAAGUCGAACGGCAGCACGGGUGCUUGCACCUGGUGGCGAGUGGCGAACGGGUGAGUAAUAUAUCGGAACGUGCCCAGUCGUGGGGAUAACGUAGCGAAAGUUACGCUAAUACCGCAUACGAUCUAAGGAUGAAAGCGGGGGACCGUAAGGCCUCGCGCGAUUGGAGCGGCCGAUAUCAGAUUAGGUAGUUGGUGGGGUAAAGGCUCACCAAGCCAACGAUCUGUAGCUGGUCUGAGAGGACGACCAGCCACAUUGGAACUGAGACACGGUCCAGACUCCUACGGGAGGCAGCAGUGGGGAAUUUUGGACAAUGGACGCAAGUCUGAUCCAGCCAUGCCGCGUGAGUGAAGAAGGCCUUCGGGUUGUAAAGCUCUUUCGGCUGGGAAGAAAUCGCACAGGCUAAUACUCUGUGUGGAUGACGGUACCAGCAUAAGAAGCACCGGCUAACUACGUG
rnacentral:rRNA from 1 species